UAUAUAUUGAUGUAAAAUGCAUAUUAAUUUUUGAAAUUAAAAGAAAUAGUUUAAUUCUAUUAAAUAUAA
rnacentral:tRNA from 2 species